rnacentral:rRNA from 1 species
UACGGAGGGGGCUAGCGUUGUUCGGAAUUACUGGGUUUAAAGGGUGCGUAGGCGGCUUUGUAAGUCAGGAGUGAAAGUUUGCGGCUCAACCGUAAAAUUGCUUUUGAUACUGCGAGGCUAGAAUUAGGAUGAGGUCAGCGGAAUGUGGCAUGUAGCGGUGAAAUGCAUAGAUAUGCCAUAGAACACCAAUUGCGAAGGCAGCUGGCUAGACCUGGAUUGACGCUGAGGCACGAAAGCGUGGGGAGCGAACAGG